rnacentral:rRNA from 1 species
UACGUAGGGUGCAAGCGUUGUCCGGAAUUAUUGGGCGUAAAGAGCUCGUAGGCGGUCUGUCGCGUCUGCUGUGAAAACUCGGGGCUUAACCCCGGGCCUGCAGUGGGUACGGGCAGACUAGAGUGCGGUAGGGGAGACUGGAAUUCCUGGUGUAGCGGUGAAAUGCGCAGAUAUCAGGAGGAACACCGGUGGCGAAGGCGGCAUCCUGGACCGACAUUGACGCUGAACGGCGAAAGCUAGGGGAGCAAACGGG